GGUGAGGUGUCCGAGUGGUCGAAGGAGCACGCCUGGAAAGCGUGUAUACCGAAAGGUAUCGAGGGUUCGAAUCCCUCCCUCACCG
rnacentral:tRNA from 1 species